rnacentral:rRNA from 1 species
UACGUAGGGGGCAAGCGUUGUCCGGAUUUAUUGGGCGUAAAGAGCGUGUAGGCGGCCAGGUAGGUCAGCUGUGAAAACUCGAGGCUCAACCUCGAGACGUCGGUGGAAACCACCUGGCUAGAGUCCGGAAGAGGAGAGUGGAAUUCCUGGUGUAGCGGUGAAAUGCGCAGAUAUCAGGAAGAACACCCGUGGCGAAGGCGGCUCGCUGGGACGGUACUGACGCUGAGACGCGAAAGCGUGGGGAGCGAACAGG